rnacentral:tRNA from 1 species
GCAUUGGUGGUUCAGUGGCAGAAUUCUCACCUUCCGUGCAAGAGUCCAUGUUUCAAUUCUGGCCAAUGCA